CCCGGCACCAAGUGUGAGCGCACAGAGCAGAAACACUAGUUGUCCGGAGGUUCUGCCGGUCUGCACGGUAGGACUUGUAGCUGCUAGACCUUCUCUUCCUCUGUGGAAACACCGGGGCUCUUUGAGGGAAUAUGGUGUCAAGAUUUUUCCAUCUCAACCUGAUUUUUAAAGAAUCAGGCGAUGUGGCGACAUGGAAGGCAUUGAGAAGCAGAGCUGGUGAAGUCGUUGGUGGGAGCAACAGCUGCCUGGAUGAGGAGGACUUUGCCUGGAGACGGGGAGACUCCGAGAAUAAGGGGGAACCAUGGUGCAGUCGGCUGACUGCAGGGCUGCACCCUCCCCAAGAUGUCCUCAUUCUAAUCCGCGGAGCCUGUGUCUCUUACCUCGCAAGGGACUUUGCAGGAGUGAUGAAGUUGGCCCUGAGUCCGGGAGGUCAGCAUGAAUUAUCCAGCAGCUUGCCCAGGUGUGAGGGCACACUGAAAGCCCGGGAACAUUCACCUGCAGGAACUGGAGCAGACGAAUAAAGGAGCAGAGUUCAAACAGCAGGAUGCCAGCUCUGCCAGUUACUUGGUGGUAUAGUUUCUGAGCCCUUUUUCACCUGCAAAACAACAAUAACAAGAGAUACUCCCUCAUUAGGUUAUGGCCAGAGAGCCCCAUGGGGUGCUAGGUGUGGAGCUGGCACUCAGUAAAUACUAAAUAAGUG